AUUCUCUGAUCUAAAUGAUGAAUGUUCUUUACCAUUAAAAGACUGAUAUGAAUAUUGAAGAUCUUUUAGAACGGCCAUCUGAUGAAUCAUAAAAACUAAAUUUGGGAAUA